GGAUCAUUAGCUCAACGGUAGAGCAGUUGCCUCUUAAGCAAUUGGUUCUGGGUUCGAAUCCCGGAUGGUCCA
rnacentral:tRNA from 2 species